UGAGGAAUAUUGCGCAAUGGGCGAAAGCCUGACGCAGCGACGCCGCGUGGAGGAUGAAGGUUUUCGGAUUGUAAACUCCUGUUAAGUGGGAAGAAACGACAAAAUAUAAUACAUUUUGUAACUGACGGUACCAUUAAAGAAAGCACCGGCUAACUUCGUGCCAGCAGCCGCGGUAAUACGAGGGGUGCAAGCGUUAUUCGGAAUUAUUGGGCGUAAAGGGUGCGUAGGCGGCGUAUUAAGUCAACUGUUAAAACCUCCAGCCUAACUGGAGAUCAGCAGUAGAUACUGGUAUGCUAGAGGAUGGAAGAGAGAAGUGGAAUUCUUGGAGUAGCGGUGGAAUGCGUAGAUCUCAAGAGGAACACCAAUGGCGAAGGCAGCUUCUUGGUCCAUAUCUGACGCUGAUGCACGAAAGCGUGGGGAGCAAAACAGGAUUAGAUACCCUGGUAGUCCACGCCGUAAACGAUGAUCACUAGAUGUUAAUUCUGCUUGCAGAAUUAGUGUCGUAGCUAACGCGAUAAGUGAUCCGCCUGGGGGACUACGGUCGCAAGAUUAAAACUCAAAUGAAUUGACGGGGGUCAUAGCUGUUUU
rnacentral:rRNA from 1 species